ACCGACGACACGACAGUCUUGAAUGGAACUUGCUGGUGCUUGGAUCGCAGUUUAACCGAUCUCCGCGAGGUUAAAACCACCGAUCCCGUCGUUGUCGUCGCGCGUUAAACUCACAAAAUAUAUCACAAAAUUAAAAAUAUUAUUUGUGCUUUUACUACAUUUUUUUUUCUUGUUUUUCGUUGCGUAUUAACCGAUUUGUGCUCUGGUGAUCCCUCUAAAAAAAGUGUAAAAUAAAUUUAUACAAAAUAUUUGUUUAAAGUGAGAUUUCUUGAUUUUUUAGCCGUGCUUAGCAUAGAAUAAUUUCUAAACGAAUUUCGUGUCAAUAAACUUAACUUGGAUUUGGGAUCUAAGAGCAACGCUUGACCAUGUCCCGCAGCAGAACUCACCAACUUGUGCAGCAGUCACUGCUAGUCCUGCCGCUGCUCCUAAUCCUUCUGAUCAUCGGCAGCGCAGCGGGUGUGGGCGUAACCCCCAACAAUAGACUUCCAUCGCAGCGUUUCUUCUACGCAGCCGCUGCGCCAUCCUCCUCUUCUACGCAAACUAAAGUUCGACUGCUACGCCAGGCGGAUGACCCUAAUGUCACACCGGGUGCAGUGGAGGGCAGUUGCUGCCAAGGAGCAGCCGCCGAAGCGGGAAAACCUAUAUCGCUUCCACUGUCCGUGUCCGCUGAGCUGAGCAACGUGACCGCUGAUUAUGAUGGCUCCGGUGAGAUACCCUCUUCCAAGGAAAACUUCAAGCGCAGUAUUAUGAAAUCCACCGUGAGAAAUGCAAUGCCAGCGAGUUGCUCACCACAACCCACGAUCGUAGAGCUCAAACCCCCAGCGGAGGACGAGGCUAACUACUAUUACAUACCUGCCUGCACAAGAAUUAGUCGUUGCAAUGGCUGCUGUGGAUCCACAUUGAUCUCCUGCCAGCCAACGGAAGUGGAGCAAGUACAGCUGCGCGUGCGCAAGGUGGACAGAGCGGCAACCAGUGGACGAAGACCGUUUACCAUCAUAACCGUGGAACAGCAUACACAAUGCCGCUGUGAUUGUCGAAUCAAGGCAGAGGAUUGCAAUGUAUAUCAGUCGUAUCGCAAGGAUCUGUGCCGCUGCGAGUGCCAUAAUACGGAUGCCAGGGACAAAUGCCUGGAGCAGGCGGAAAACAAGUACUGGGUGGAUGACAAUUGCACCUGCGUCUGUCGGUACAAUCAGAGCUGCACCACCGGCACCGUUUUCGAUGAGACGCAGUGCAAGUGCACCGACGUGAGUGGCUCCCGAUAGGACAUCAUCACUACUACUCUACCCUUCCCCCUUGAGGCUACCAUUGGGCUGGGAUCUGGUUUUGAUCUGGUCUGGUCUGGGGAACGGUUGUGCUCGUCCUUGAUCAGAAAUGUCGAAUAUUAUUCUUAGGGUCCACAAAACAUCACACAGAAAUAUAUUGUUUCUUUAAUUGAUUUGUGAUAUUGUUAAAAAAAAAAAUUAACUUUCUCGGAAACAACUAACUUAAAAUUAGCAUCUUUUGCUUAGCAAAUUGGUUAAGGAUUUAUACAAAAUACAUUUUAAAAUUUGUAAUAUAUAGCUGAGUUGAGGCAAAUAUAUAAAAAUGGGAGAAGGGAGUUGCAUUGUCCAGCUGCACCUAUCAAUGUCUUGGACCGCAAACGCUUCAUUGUCCAGGCCGUACAGGUGGACCCCGAUAACACCACCCUGUACAGUGUUUAGGGGCUGUGUUUGGUAGAGCCAAAAGGAGUACGAAGGAGAAACGCCAGCUUCCUAGAGGGGGAAUCCCCGAGUACUGAGAAAGCAAUUACCCAAAAACUGCACUAAGCGUAAUUGCCUAUGUACUUUAUAUUAUUUAUAGUUAUCGUUUAAAAUUUAGGCUAAAACUACUACACCCCCCUCUAAAAACUAACUCACAGUAUUUUCCCCUUUUCCAUCUGCGGCACAACAACAACAAAAAAAAAACUUUAAAGGGGUUUUCGCGGAAAUCUCUAAUGAUUUGGAUAUCAUAAAAUAAAAUGUUCUAUAAAUUUAUAAUUUUAGAUAAAUUUUCGAAAUGUUUUGAUCUAUUAGAGAUUUCUGCGCAACACACCCUGUAUAUUAAUUUUAAAAAUUAAUUUGUUCAUAUUAUUUUUUAAGCUCUUUCCACUUUUGUCGCCAACACUUUGUCCACAUUCGUUUAUUUUCGUUUGUUUAAGUUUUAAAACAUUUCAAAUUAAUUGUCCACAAAUUAAAUGCUAUAUCCAAUAAUUCGCCGUACUUCAUUUGUAUGUAACUUUUUUUUUGUAUAAAAUGUUAGUUUUAAGUUUACUUAAAGAAAAUACAGACAAAGUAUUGAAUUAUAAAAUUA